CAAUAGCGUAUAUUAAAGUUGUUGCAGUUAAAAAGCUCGUAGUUGGACCUUGGACCUGGACAGGCGGUCCGCCUCACGGCGUGUACUGUCUUGCUGGGUCUUUCCUCUUGGUGAUCUGUUGUUUCGGCAGCAGGGAACCAGGACUUUUACUUUGAAAAAAUUAGAGUGUUCAAAGCAGGCUCGACGCCGGAAUAUAUUAGCAUGGAAUAAUAAAAUAGGACGUGCGGUUCUAUUUUGUUGGUUUUUGGAAUCGCCGUAAUGAUUAAUAGGGACAGUCGGGGGCAUUAGUACUCACAUGCUAGAGGUGAAAUUCUUGGAUUUUGUGAAGACUAACUUCUGCGAAAGCAUUUGCCAAGGAUGUUUUCAUUAA
rnacentral:rRNA from 1 species